AAAGGUACAGCUCAGUGGUAGAGUGCAUGCCUAGCAUGCAUGAGGUCCUGGGUUCAAUCCCCAGUACCUCCA
rnacentral:tRNA from 1 species